ACGAACGCUGGCGGCGUGCUUAACACAUGCAAGUCGAACGGUGAAGCGCCUUCCUUUUUGGUGGGUGUGGAUGAGUGGCGAACGGGUGAGUAACACGUGAGUAACCUGCCCCCUUCUUCUGGAUAACCGCAUGAAAGUGUGGCUAAUACGGGAUAUUCUGGGUCUGUCGCAUGAUGGGUCUGGGAAAGAUAUUGUUUCGGUGGGGGAUGGGCUCGCGGCCUAUCAGCUUGGUGGUGGGGUGAGGGCCUACCAAGGCGGUGGCGGGUAGCCGGCCUGAGAGGGUGGACGGUCACACUGGGACUGAGGCACGGCCGAGACUGCUACGGGAGGCAGCAGUGGGGAAUAUUGCACAAUGGGGGAAAGCCUGAUGCAGCGACGCCGCGUGAGGGAUGGAGGCCUUCGGGUUGUGAACCUCUUUCGCCAGUGAAGCAGGCCUGCCUCGUUUGUGGGUGGGUUGACGGUAGCUGGAGAAGAAGCGCCGGCUAACUACGUG
rnacentral:rRNA from 1 species